UCCGCUCUCUCCUCUGUCCUCCGCUCUACUCAUCCUCAACUAUUACAAGGUACACCUCUCCUCUGUCCUCCGCUCUCUCCUCUGUCCUCCGCUCUACCCAUCCUCAACUAUUACAAGGGUAACGUGUGGGCCUUGAGGUGGCUUGUUGAGUUUCUGUCUUCGUCUCCUGGAAUCCUGGAGUCCUUCCUCAGAGGGGUAGCAGUGGAACUGCACAACACCGAUGGAUCCCAGCUGUCGUCCUCCUUCCCUUCUUCCUCCCUCAAAGACCACUCCUACAGCAGCAGUGCAGCAGCCCCCGUCCAUCAGCCUGACCCCUCUGAACACCACACACACCCUGCUACCUGGGAACAGUUAGUACAUACACACACACCUCUGAUCCUAUUUGUGUACAACAUCUAACAUAUCAGUGUGUAACCUAUUUCAUUCUCC